AUGCAGUCGAGCGGACAGAUGGGAGCUUGCUCCCUGAUGUUAGCGGCGGACGGGUGAGUAACACGUGGGUAACCUGCCUGUAAGACUGGGAUAACUCCGGGAAACCGGGGCUAAUACCGGAUGGUUGUUUGAACCGCAUGGUUCAAACAUAAAAGGUGGCUUCGGCUACCACUUACAGAUGGACCCGCGGCGCAUUAGCUAGUUGGUGAGGUAACGGCUCACCAAGGCAACGAUGCGUAGCCGACCUGAGAGGGUGAUCGGCCACACUGGGACUGAGACACGGCCCAGACUCCUACGGGAGGCAGCAGUAGGGAAUCUUCCGCAAUGGACGAAAGUCUGACGGAGCAACGCCGCGUGAGUGAUGAAGGUUUUCGGAUCGUAAAGCUCUGUUGUUAGGGAAGAACAAGUACCGUUCGAAUAGGGCGGUACCUUGACGGUACCUAACCAGAAAGCCACGGCUAACUACGUGCCAGCAGCCGCGGUAAUACGUAGGUGGCAAGCGUUGUCCGGAAUUAUUGGGCGUAAAGGGCUCGCAGGCGGUUUCUUAAGUCUGAUGUGAAAGCCCCCGGCUCAACCGGGGAGGGUCAUUGGAAACUGGGGAACUUGAGUGCAGAAGAGGAGAGUGGAAUUCCACGUGUAGCGGUGAAAUGCGUAGAGAUGUGGAGGAACACCAGUGGCGAAGGCGACUCUCUGGUCUGUAACUGACGCUGAGGAGCGAAAGCGUGGGGAGCGAACAGGAUUAGAUACCCUGGUAGUCCACGCCGUAAACGAUGAGUGCUAAGUGUUAGGGGGUUUCCGCCCCUUAGUGCUGCAGCUAACGCAUUAAGCACUCCGCCUGGGGAGUACGGUCGCAAGACUGAAACUCAAAGGAAUUGACGGGGGCCCGCACAAGCGGUGGAGCAUG
rnacentral:rRNA from 1 species